CUCCAGUUUCAUCCACCUCAUUAGAACUGAUUCAAAUGUAUUCUUUUUAAUGGCUGAAACAGAUAUUCUCUUAAAGUGCAUAUAGAGAUUCACCAAAUAGCCAUAGUCAGGUCACAAAACAGACCUCCAUAAAUUUAAAAGGCAAUAAAAAAUAUGUUUUGUGACCAUAGCAGAAUUAAAUAUCUUUAAAAUAGUACAUAAAAACACCCCAAAAACUACAAAUUUAUUUUUUUUUAAAUAACACAGGUGAUAUUAUACUUAAUGAUGGAAGACAGAAAGUUUUCCCCACUAAGAUCAGAAACAAGACAAGGAUUCCCACUUUCAUCAUUUCUAUUCAACAUUGCACUGGAAGUUUUAACCAGAUCAAUUUUCCCCAAAACAAAAGUAGAAAUUAAAGGCAUCCAAUUUGGAAAUUAAUAAGCAAAAUUAUCUCUAUUAUAGAUGACAUAAGUUUACAUAUAGAAAAUCUUAAAGAAUCUGGAAAAAUCUAUUAAAGUUAAUAAGCAAAUUCAAUGGAGUUGCAGGAUAUAGAUAAACAUGUAAAAAUCAGUUGUAUUUCUAUAGUAACAAGUAAUUAGCAAAAAAAAGAAUCAAGAAAACAAUUCAAUUUACAAUAGCAUCAAACAGUUAAAAUGACUUGGAAUAAAUUUAACCAAAAAGUUGCAAGGCUUGUACACUGGAAACUAUUGCUUAAAGACUAAUGCUUAUAACAUUGCUUAAAGACAUGAAAGAAGACCUAAAUAAAUAGAAAGAUGUCAAUAUUCAAGGAAUGGAAAUCAAUAGAGUUAAGAUGGCAAUACUCCCCAAAGAAAUCUACAGAGUCAAUGCAAUCUCCAUUGAAAUAUCAAUGGCCUAUUUUUAGCAGAUGGAAAAUUAGAUACGAAAAUUCAUAUGCGAUUUCAAGGGACCCAUAUGGCCAAAAAGAAUCUUGAAAAAGAAUAAUAAA